rnacentral:rRNA from 1 species
GUGAGGAAUAUUGCGCAAUGGAGGCAACUCUGACGCAGCCAUGCCGCGUGCAGGAAGAAGGCGCUACGCGUUGUAAACUGCUUUUAACCGGGAAGAAACCCCAGGACGUGUCCUGGGUUGACGGUACCGGAGGAAUAAGCACCGGCUAACUUCGUGCCAGCAGCCGCGGUAAUACGAAGGGUGCAAGCGUUAUCCGGAUUCAUUGGGUUUAAAGGGUGCGUAGGCGGAGCGUUAAGUCAGUGGUGAAAUCCUGCAGCUUAACUGUAGACUUGCCAUUGAUACUGGCGCUCUUGAGUGCGCUUGAAGUGGGCGGAAUGUGCCGUGUAGCGGUGAAAUGCUGAGAUAUGGCACAGAACACCAAUUGCGAAGGCAGCUCACUAAGGCGAUACUGACGCUGAGGCACGAAAGCGUGGGGAUCGAACAGGAUUAGAUACCCUGGUAGUCC